AGCGAACGCUGGCGGCAGGCCUAACACAUGCAAGUCGAACGAACCUUUCGGGGUUAGUGGCGGACGGGUGAGUAACACGUGGGAACGUGCCUUUAGGUUCGGAAUAACUCAGGGAAACUUGUGCUAAUACCGAAUGUGCCCUUCGGGGGAAAGAUUUAUCGCCUUUAGAGCGGCCCGCGUCUGAUUAGCUAGUUGGUUGAGGUAAUGGCUCACCAAGGCGACGAUCAGUAGCUGGUCUGAGAGGAUGAUCAGCCACAUUGGGACUGAGACACGGCCCAAACUCCUACGGGAGGCACCAGUGGGGAAUCUUGCGCAAUGGGCGAAAGCCUGACGCAGCCAUGCCGCGUGAAUGAUGAAGGUCUUAGGAUUGUAAAAUUCUUUCACCGGGGACGAUAAUGACGGUACCCGGAGAAGAAGCCCCGGCUAACUUCGU
rnacentral:rRNA from 1 species